CCCGAGCAGCGCUCCUCGGGCAGAGCCUGAGGCCACGCCACCUCCUCAAGCUCACACAGCCUGCGGCAGCCCGCGAGCCUCCGCACGCGCGCCCAGGACGGCCUGUGAUUGGCUGCCAGGUGCGGGUGCAAGGUCGGGCAGGCGGGGCGCAUGCGCAGGCUGUGGCGCCGGUGGUGGUCACUGCAGGCCAGGUGUCCGGCCCAGAGGAGCAAAGGCGGUGGAAAUCCCUCAAAGCCCCUAGAAGGAGCUUGAGCCGGCCAGCGAUCUGGUGCAGCUCAGACCACAGCAUUGGGCUUCCAGUCCACCUGACCCACUUGAAAUAAAGCUGCUGUAAUCCUCAGAUUCCCAUCUAGGAUUUAUUGAACUUCUGCUAAUCACUGUUUCCUUAGCCUUCUCAGGAUGUGCAGCCUCUAUUUCCAUCAGUGACCACACACCUAUCUUGGUUCCAGACCAUACAGUCCAGAAGUCUUGAUGUGCAUUGCUGCGUAAAUCCAACACCUGCAGUUUCCACCGCCUGAAGGGAAAACAGAGGGACUCCUGGGAAGAAAUACUUCCCCUUCCUGCAUGCCCUUGCUAGAGACAAGAAUUCAACCUACUGAUGGAGACUCAUCCACAGGUCAUGGGAUUGACUGAUUGAUUGAGAGUGGGGACUGAACUUAUGACCUCACACUUGGCAGAAGCUCACCCACAGGAUCUGGAAAGCAGAAGUGCCCAAAGACCCCUCUGUUACCAGUAGCAGAGGCUGAGAAGGCCCUGAGCCAUUACCACUGCAGCUUGUUACCUGCACUCUGCUUGGUUGAUCCUCCUUGCUCUCUAAUCAGAUUUGGAGGCUGCAAAGUCCAAAAACAAGUAUGCUGGAAGAAAGAGAAGAAGCAAAACUGAGGCAGAAGAAAAAAAGAAGAGGAAAAAGAAGAAAGGAGGGAGAGAAGGAAGAAGAGAAGAGGAGAAGAGGAGGUAUUGGAAGAGGAGGAAGAGGAAGAGGAAUGAUCUUGAGAGAGGGAGAAGCAUAUGACAUUCUCUGAAGGAAACAGACACAAAACACUCCACAUGCAGAGACGACAGGUGCUGAGUCAGUCUGCUCAACCCUGAAGGGAUCAUCCUCCCUGAGAUAGAAAUGAUCACGAGGGUUCCCAGGGUGCUGCCGGAGUGGGGUCCAGAUGGAGUUAACAGGACUUCCCAAGUUGACAGCUUCCAGGGUUGGCUGUGCUACAGCCAUAGAAACCUGGUCCUCCUAGUCAGUUCCUCCCAGCAGCAUUCCUAGGUUACUCCUUCCUUCAAGUUCCUCAUUUUGUCCCCAUCUCUUCCCUGUAUCCUUACCUCCAUGGUCUCUCCUCUCUCUGCCUGUCGAAUCAAAGCUUCUCCCAGAACAUCCAGCCCCCUCAUCUCCAUCACACCAAGCAAAAUAGAGGAGACCAGGCCCAAAGACAUGCAUAUUAGUCACUUUCUUGUCACUGGACACAAUACUCAACACCCACAGAUUAGAGGAGAGGUUUAAGGUGGCUCAUGUUUCAGGAGAUUCAGUCCAUGCUCAUUGCUUAAAGACAUAAAUGGCAUAGAAGAGGGGUGUGAGGAGGGAAAGCUUUCACCUCAUAGCAGUCAGGAAGCACAGAGAGAAGGAAGGAGCAAUACAGCCUUCAAAGUACACAUCCCAAUUCCUGAUAGCACAUCAGUGGAUGAAUUCACUGAUGACUAUAGCACCCCAUGAUCUAAUUACCUUCAAAAAGUCCCACCUUUGAAGUUAUGAGACUUCGGGGGAUAUCUUAGACCUACAUAUUUAUAUACAUCCCGACACUUACAGCUCCACUCAAUGCAGGACAGCCAUAAGGGCAUUACAUCCAAUACCCCCUGAGAUGGUCAUCCUCCUCCACUGCCAGUUAGAUAUCAGGGCACUUCUCUGAGUACCUGGGACCCUCUGAGUCCCUGGGACCCUUACAUCCCUCAGAAGCAACUCAUUAGUACCCACUAGAAGGCACCAGGGCCACCCAACCUCAGGUGAGGCCCUCUGAGGUUGAAUUCCUCUUGGAUUCCUCAUGCUGCCCAACUGAACUCCAUCUGUUCAUACCUUUUCCAUGGCUGAAAGUCCUUAGUUACCUAGUUGGAAUGGGACCCUAGUUAGAUCCUAUUUCCUUAAUCAUAGAAUAACUGUCUGUGGCUCAAAGAAAAGAGAGACUGGUUUUAACAAGAAAAGAUUUCUUCAUUGAUUAAUUCUUUCAUUCCUUCAUUCAUCUAUAUUCAUGGUUAUUUUAAUUCAUUGCUUGUACGGUUAUUUAUAUUCAGAAGAACGGCUCUCUAUUUACAAUGCAGAUAGAAAUUAAAGUGAAGAAACUGAAA